rnacentral:rRNA from 1 species
GAUGAACGCUGGCGGCGUGCCUAAUACAUGCAAGUCGAGCGAACGGACGAGAAGCUUGCUUUUCUGAUGUUAGCGGCGGACGGGUGAGUAACACGUGGAUAACCUACCUAUAAGACUGGGAUAACUUCGGGAAACCGGAGCUAAUACCGGAUAAUAUUUUGAACCGCAUGGUUCAAAAGUGAAAGACGGUCUUGCUGUCACUUAUAGAUGGAUCCGCGCUGCAUUAGCUAGUUGGUAAGGUAACGGCUUACCAAGGCAACGAUGCAUAGCCGACCUGAGAGGGUGAUAGGCCAACCUGGAACUGGGAACCGGUCCAGACUCCUACGGGAGGCAGCAGUGGGGAAUCUGCCGCAAUGGGCGAAAGCCUGACGGAGCAACGCCGCGGGAGUGAUGAAGGUCUUCGGAUCGUAAGACUCUGUUAUUAGGGAAGAACAUAUGUGUAAGUAACUGUGCACAUCUUGACGGUACCUAAUCAGAAGGCCACGGCUAACUACGU